UACGUAGGGCGCAAGCGUUGUCCGGAAUUAUUGGGCGUAAAGAGCUCGUAGGUGGUUUGUUACGUCUGCUGUGAAAACCUAGGGCUUAACCCUGGGCCUGCAGUGGAUACGGGCAGACUAGAGGUAGGUAGGGGAGAAUGGAAUUCCCGGUGUAGCGGUGAAAUGCGCAGAUAUCGGGAGGAACACCGGUGGCGAAGGCGACUCUUUGGCCUAUAACUGACGCUGAGGCGCGAAAGCGUGGGGAGCAAACAGG
rnacentral:rRNA from 1 species